CAGAGCCCAAGAUGGUAAUCUCCGUUCGCGGCGAAUUGUAAUCUUGAGAGGUCAAGCUCACCGGGUGGUGGCGCAGAAGUGCCCUGGAACGGGCCGCCAUAGAGGGUGAUAGCCCCGUACGUGGUGCCGCUACCUAACGAGCUGGCUUUCGAAGAGUCGGGUUGUUUGGUAUUGCAGCCCUAAGUGGGAGAUAAACUUCUUCUAAGGCUAAAUAUAUGUGGGAAACCGAUAGCGAACAAGUACUGUGAAGGAAAGAUGAAAAGCACUUUGGAAAGAGAGUUAAAAGACCUGAAACCGUUGAGGAGGAAGCGGUAGAGAUGAAUUCUACGGCGAAGCGCUGGGAAGUCGGCCUAACUAAACUGGAUUUGUCGUACGUCAAAGGCGGCGGUUUAGUUGUAGGGAAGCCGGCCACUUGUGCGGCGUCGUGAGGCCGGAUGGGGCGACGUGAUCACAGAGGCCUGUCAGACUUGGCUUGCUUCGGUGAGCAGUCUGGGAGUGCCGGUGGCUGCGUGGCUUGAGAGAGCUUUGUGCGAUCCGGUCAAAAUGGUCUUUACCGACCCGUCUUGAAACACGGACCAAGGAGUCUAACGUACACGCGAGUGUGCCGGUGGAGAAACCGUCACGCGAAAUGAAGGUGAGUGAUGCCAAGCGCAAGCAGCAGCAUCGGCCGACCAUGACCCUCUGGGGAAAGGUUUGAGUAUGAGCGUGUCCGCUAGGACCCGAAAGAUGGUGAACUAUGCCUGCGUAGGGUGAAGCCA
rnacentral:rRNA from 1 species